UUAUGGCGAGAAGAAAUAACUAGCUUUAGACGACGCCACACAUAUUGGCGACUUAUAGCAGGGACAAAUAAAAACACCAACAAGAAAUAAUGGAAGUGACAACCCUCCAUGACGACAUAGAACACGGAUCAGAACACAAUUAAUGAAUGGAAAAUGGAACGUCCGAACUUUGAGAAUCAUCGAUAUUUUACCAAGGCCAGAACGAAAUGUCAAUCUACAAUCUAGACGUAAGUGAAGUGCGAAAGCCGAAAUGUACCGAAACAAGUAAAAUUGUGCUAAGUAUCUUGGGAACCUAGGACCAUGAAUUCUGCUAAAAAUUUAUGCAAAAUAAAUUAAGUUGACGGGCA